AUGAACGCUAUUUACAGGCUUAACACAUGCAAGUCGAGGGGCAGCAUGGUCUUAGCUUGCUAAGGCCGAUGGCGACCGGCGCACGGGUGAGUAACACGUAUCCAACCUGCCGUCUACUCUUGGACAGCCUUCUGAAAGGAAGAUUAAUACAAGAUGGCAUCAUGAGUCCACAUGUUCACAUGAUUAAAGGUAUUCCGGUAGACGAUGGGGAUGCGUUCCAUUAGAUAGUAGGCGGGGUAACGGCCCACCUAGUCUUCGAUGGAUAGGGGUUCUGAGAGGAAGGUCCCCCACAUUGGAACUGAGACACGGUCCAAACUCCUACGGGAGGCAGCAGUGAGGAAUAUUGGUCAAUGGGCGAGAGCCUGAACCAGCCAAGUAGCGUGAAGGAUGACUGCCCUAUGGGUUGUAAACUUCUUUUAUAAAGGAAUAAAGUCGGGUAUGGAUACCCGUUUGCAUGUACUUUAUGAAUAAGGAUCGGCUAACUCCGUGCCAGCAGCCGCGGUAAUACGGAGGAUCCGAGCGUUAUCCGGAUUUAUUGGGUUUAAAGGGAGCGUAGAUGGAUGUUUAACUCAGUUGUGAAAGUUUGCGGCUCAACCGCAAAAUUGCAGUUGAUACUGGAUAUCUUGAGUGCAGUUGAGGCAGGCGGAAUUCGUGGUGUAGCGGUGAAAUGCUUAGAUAUCACGAAGAACUCCGAUUGCGAAGGCAGCCCUGCUAAGCUGCAACUGACAUUGAGGCUCGAAAGUGUGGGUAUCAAACAGGAUUAGAUACCCUGGUAGUCCACACGGUAAACGAUGAAUACUCGCUGUUUGCGAUAUACAGCAAGCGGCCAAGCGAAAGCGUUAAGUAUUCCACCUGGGGAGUACGCCGGCAACGGUGAAACUCAAAGGAAUUGACGGGGGCCCGCACAAGCGGAGGAACAUGUGGUUUAAUUCGAUGAUACACGAGGAACCUUACCCGGGCUUAAAUUGCAGAUGAAUUACGGUGAAAGCCGUAAGCCGCAAGGCAUCUGUGAAGGUGCUGCAUGGUUGUCGUCAGCUCGUGCCGUGAGGUGUCGGCUUAAGUGCCAUAACGAGCGCAACCCUUGUUGUCAGUUACUAACAGGUUCCGCUGAGGACUCUGACAAGACUGCCAUCGUAAGAUGUGAGGAAGGUGGGGAUGACGUCAAAUCAGCACGGCCCUUACGUCCGGGGCUACACACGUGUUACAAUGGGGGGUACAGAGGGCCGCUACCACGCGAGUGGAUGCCAAUCCCCAAAACCUCUCUCAGUUCGGACUGGAGUCUGCAACCCGACUCCACGAAGCUGGAUUCGCUAGUAAUCGCGCAUCAGCCACGGCGCGGUGAAUACGUUCCCGGGCCUUGUACACACCGCCCGUCAAGCCAUGGGAGCCGGGGGUACCUGAAGUGCGUAACCGCGAGGAGCGCCCUAGGGUAAAACUGGUGACUGGGGCUAAGU
rnacentral:rRNA from 1 species